AGGUUAGGCUAGAGGGUUUUAAUGAGCAAAUUCCAAGACAGAAAAGGAAAAAACCUAGAUUGGUGUAGCAUGUAAGAAAAGUUUUGAAGGAUAUAUGGGUGAGACCAUAAUCAGAGGUUUCUGCAUCAGGUACAGCCUGUCACUGUUGCUGUUAGAGGCAAGGCAAAUGACCAGUUCUGCUGCUCUCACUGUGAGAAACCAUGGGUAAAUGCAGUUUCAAGUUCAGCAUACUUUUUUCUUAACAAAUGUAAAAAUAUGUGGGAAUUUAUUUUGGUAAGCCAGGAUGUAUUUUGAUAUGAAUAGCAUUAAUUUAACAGCUUGCUUGGCCAUUACCAUCAGGAAUUUAGAAUUGUUUCACUAAACGUUAACUUUUAAUAUUAAGUCAGACAUUAUAAUUAUGUAUUCAAAUUUAAAAAUUUUAAGGAAGCAUUCAAAAAACAUUUUCUAGGUAUGGCACUACAGAAACCCUGUAGUUAACCCUGAGAACAUGAUUGGAUUAUUUUAAAUUUUUUUCAACUCAUCCUUCAAACCAGUGCACUACAAAACAAAGAUAAUACAGGCCUCAGAUAC
rnacentral:lncRNA from 1 species